CACGGGGGGAGCAAGCGUUGUUCGGAAUCACUGGGCGUAAAGGGCGUGUAGGCGGUCGGAUAAGUGGAAUGUGAAAUCCCUCGGCUCACCCGAGGACCUGCAUCCCAAACUGUCCGACUUGAGUAUGGGAGAGGAUGAGGGAAUUCCUGGUGUAGCGGUGAAAUGCGUAGAUAUCAGGAGGAACACCGGUGGCGAAGGCGCUCAUCUGGCCCAAUACUGACGCUGAGGCGCGAAAGCUAGGGGAGCAAACGGG
rnacentral:rRNA from 1 species